CAUUAAAUAACUAAAAUAAUAAAGUAUUGAUCUUUUAAAUCAAAUCAUAAUAGUAUUAAUAAUCUAUUUUUAAUGA
rnacentral:tRNA from 1 species